rnacentral:misc_RNA from 1 species
AAUUUCUCAAGCUUGGAUGGCAGUUUUGUCUGUCCUUAGUCUUGGUUUAUUGGGCUUUUGCUGUUUCUUUCAUUGAGACGGCUGGCCUUAAAAGUAUUAGCUGAUCCUUAUGUUGGUACUGGUUCUACUCAGUGUGAUAAUAAUAUGAUCACUGAGGACAUCUUUUGGGAUGGCCAGUUCUCAUUCGGGUUGCUUCUAACCUUGGAUGCGGAUUUUGUUCAAUCUGGUACCAAUCAUCGA